UACUUGGGUAGUUUAAUAAAAGGGCGUUACAUUGAAGCUGUAGAAGUGGCAUUCUGCCCCUAGGUAUC
rnacentral:tRNA from 1 species